rnacentral:rRNA from 1 species
UACGUAAGGAGCAAGCGUUGUCCGGAAUCAUUGGGCGUAAAGCGCGCGUAGGCGGCCCGAUAAGUCCGCUGUGAAAGUCAACGGCUCAACUGUUGGAUGCCGGUGGAUACUGUCGGGCUAGAGUACGGAAGAGGCAAGUGGAAUUCCUGGUGUAGCGGUGGAAUGCGCAGAUAUCAGGAGGAACACCGGUGGCGAAAGGCGGGAUCUCUGGGGCCCAUUACUGACGUGAGGAGCGAAAAGCGUGGGGGAGCGA